rnacentral:rRNA from 1 species
GAUGAACGCUGGCGGCGUGCUUAACACAUGCAAGUCGAACGAAGCACUUUAUUUGAUUUCCUUCGGGACUGAUUAUUUUGUGACUGAGUGGCGGACGGGUGAGUAACGCGUGGGUAACCUGCCUUGUACAGGGGGAUAACAGUUGGAAACGGCUGCUAAUACCGCAUAAGCGCACAGCAUCGCAUGAUGCAGUGUGAAAAACUCCGGUGGUAUAAGAUGGACCCGCGUUGGAUUAGCUAGUUGGUGAGGUAACGGCCCACCAAGGCGACGAUCCAUAGCCGACCUGAGAGGGUGACCGGCUACAUUGGGACUGAGACACGGCCCAAACUCCUACGGGAGGCAGCAGUGGGGAAUAUUGCACAAUGGGCGAAAGCCUGAUGCAGCGACGCCGCGUGAGCGAAGAAGUAUUUCGGUAUGUAAAGCUCUAUCAGCAGGGAAGAUAAUGACGGUACCUGACUAAGAAGCACCGGCUAAAUACGU